UUUUUUUUUUUGUUCAUAUAUAUUUUUACAAUUUUGUGUAUGCUUGAUUGCUGGUUGUUAUUUGCAUGGCAAUUUAGGGCUUGAGGUAUUAAGGUUUCUGAUUUAGAAGUUAGGGUUAGGGUUUCGAACGUUAGGGUUUCAGGUUGGAUGGUGAGGUUGAGGAUGAGUCAACUCGUCUUUGACUCGAGUGAGUUGAGUGAAUUCAGAGGAUCACGAGCGAGCCACAUAGGCUUUAUCACGUGUCUAGGUCACGUGUGGGCUUUGGGACUCAUGAAAACAGACUUGAGUGAAUCGGGUCUGAGUUUGUUUUCGAAAAAUGGGCUUUGAUUAAGUUUUAAAACGGGUCGACCUGGUUCAGAAAAAAUAGGGCCCAGGUCAUUUUUAAAAUGGGUCGGCCCACUUUCCCUUUUUUAAAAAAUAAGGCCCGGGUUUAUUUAAAUGGUUAGGCUCAGAUUGAGUUUUAAAACGGGUCGGCUCACUUCAGAAAAAAUAAAGGCCUGAAUUUAUUUAAAUGGUCGGACUCAGAUUGAGUUUUAAAACGGGCUGACCCACUUCAGAAAAAAUAGGGUCUAGGUCACUUUUAAAACAAGCCGGUUUCUUUUAAAAUAGAUUUGGGGUUUUGGUUUUAAAAAUGAACAGGCCUGAUUUUUUUUUUUAAAUAGUUGUUGGGCUUUGUGUAAAACAAUUGGUUUCAGGUUCUUUUAAAACGGGCUCUGGGAAUAAAUGCGCCCCCCCCUUUUUUCUUUUCCUCAAGUUUAGAUAUUAUGACUGCUCCACGUCUCUCAAAAUCUGUCUCAGGAUUUUUUUCGCCGCCUUGUGAACAUAAUCCUCCAUUGACAGCUGGAGGACUUCUCAAUGCACAUCAACCCUCUCUUCAUUCUGUCAUUCACACACUUUAAAACAUAUACAACUGGGCAGUCUCAAUAUUGUUCUAUUUAACCAACUUCCUCUCACACCUAAACACUACAGGCGAAUUCCCCGUAUAACUUCAACCCAUCUUUGGCCACCCUCUGUUAUGGCAACCGCGCCUUAACCAUUUAAAAAAAAAAAAAAAUACUCUCAAUCAUUUCUCAUGGCAGGGGCUUCAUCUUCCAAACAGGUUCCUUAUUUGAAUAUGGCAUCGGAGGUACCAACUCGUCCUAGUGUCCUUGGCUCCUUCCAUCUCCCUCCUCAGUUUCAAAAUUAAAUGCUGAGGAAUGAGACAGUAUUGGUCACGAUGUCUUAUGCCGGUGUAGCCACCCAGACACUCUACCAUAGUGCCCAAACAAUGACCUCGAUAUCUCACUUAGCCCGUCGUUUGCAGAAACAGAACGAAACCGCGACCCUCCUCGAAAAUGAAGCCUACCUCUUACGGCAGAAGUACUAAGAGGAACAAUAGAAGAUGAGGGACUUAAGGCAAGAAAAUAAGAUGCUGAAACGGGAGGUCAAAGAUUUGAGAAAAAUGGUGGCCGUUUAUUCCAACGACCUUGGGUGUAAAAUAGUCGAGUUGGAGAAAAGUCGGGAGGACAUCCAGCGGGAGCAUAAAUGGCCCAAAACCAUAGUGCAUGAAAAAGGUCAGACUUCUCAUUUCUCAAACUGAAAAGGUAAGUGGAGAGGCAUGAAGAGCCGUGAUGUUAUGUGUUUAUGUUGCCAUACGUGGCGUGUAUAUGUACACCCCCCCCCCCCCCCCGUUUUUUUUUUGAAAAGUUUUGAUUUGGUUUUGGGAGAGUUUUGGUUUAAUUAUUGUAAUCUCCCAGAACUGUAACUGUAACCACGGUAUUCCUCCACCAUAAGUGAGGAUAAUUAAUAAAAUUUGGGUGGUUUUUUUUUUUUUACUGAGGACAAGAAUAUUGCUGGUACACCGAACCGGGUUAUAAUAUCCUCCGAAUGACUUGCUAUGGAUGUAAAAAUUUGGGCCAUGGGGGUACAAUGACCCAAACCUCUAUGAUGGUUGGCUAUGGAUGUAGGAAUCUAGGCCACAUGGGUACGAUGACCCAAACCUUUAUGUCGGUUUGCUGCAGAUGUAGGAAUCUGAGUCACAUGGGUAUGAUAACGCAAACCUUGGUGUCGGUUUGCUGCGGAUGUAGGAAUCUGAGCAACAUGGGUACGAUGACCCAAAAUUUUGUGUCGGUUUGCUGUGAGCGUGGGAGUCCGAGCCGUGGGUGUACGAUGACCCAAACCUCUGUGUCGGUUUGCUGCAGAUGUAGGAAUCCGAGCCGUAGGGGUACGAUGACCCAAACCUUUGUGUCAGUUUACUGCAGAUGUAGGAAUCCGAGCCGUGGGGGUACGAUGACCCAAACUUCUAUGUCGGUUUGCUUUGGAUGUAGGAAUCCGAGCUGUAGGGGUACGAUGACCCAAACCCUUGUGUUAGUUUGCUACAGAUGUAGGAAUCUGAGCCAUGGGGGUACGAUGACCCAAACCUCUGUGUCAAUUUGCUUUGGAUGUAGGAAUCUGAGCCGUAGGGGUACGAUGACCCAAACCUUUGUGUCGGUUUGCUGCAGAUGUAGGAAUCCGUGCCGUGGGGGCACGAUGACCCAAACAUCUGUGUUAGUUUGCUUUGGAUGUAGGAAUCCAAGCCGUAGGGGUAUGAUGACCGAAACCUUUGCGUCAGUUUGUUGCAGAUGUAGGAGUCCGAGCCGUGGGGGUACGAUGACCCAAACCUCUGUGUCGGUUUGCUGCGGAUGUAGGAAUCCGAGCCGUAGGGGUACGAUGACCCAAACCUUUGUGUCGGUUUUCUGCAAAUGUAGGAAUCUGAGCCGUGGGGGUACAAUGACCCAAACCUCUAUGUUGGCUUGCUGCGGAUGGAGGAAUCCGAGUCGUAGGGGUACGAUGACCCAAGCCAAAAUUUUUGGGUAGGAAAUCUCGUGUUGGAAAAAUCACUACUUUGAGAUUCCUUUUUUUUUUUCCUCUCUUUUUUUUGCUGGCUUUAGAUUACCUACUUUGAGACUCAACAACCAAUGCCUCAAUUGAUUCUUGGGGUCAACUGCCACAAUUUCAAAUAUGUCAAGACAAGAAUAGCUCAAUCAAGGAUGCAAAAUGAUUAUUCAAAAGUUUAUUUAACCAGACAAGUAUAAAUGAAUGGUACUCCAUUGCUAUAUGUAUGCAUGUUGCUACCUGAGAUGCCAGAAUGCAAUGAUAUGUUACCAUGUGUACGUGUACAUAAUAAUGUAUGAGUGCAAAGAUGUAUGCACAUUGUAUGAGAUGUCCUUUGUAUUUUCUUUCUCAUGCAAUGCAAGGAAUGCAUGCUAAUGCAUGAACUUUCCUUCCUCCAACAUGCCUGUAAUGGACAACCCUAUCCUUAUCCUUGGCCAUUUUCAAAUUUCGAUCCAAUAUAAGGGUCCCUGAAUUGAUUCAUUAAAAAUGCAUCUCGUCAUUUUCCCGAAUUACAUUGGUUUGUGCCUGCUCUCGGCCAUGUUUUCAAAUCCCUAGUAGCCGAGGAUUCUAGACAUGUUUCAAAUUCCAAAAGUGCUCAAAAUCUACCCCAAUGUUUACCUGCCAUUGAUCUUGGCUAUAUCUUCAUCUUGUGUUUUGAUAUAAAGGCAUCAAAAUCAGUUUAGACAAAACUCAACCCAAAAUCUGUCCCAGUUACCAUCAUUGCUAGCCCUGCUCCCCUUUCAAAUUCAAUAGACGUCCAAAAUUUGCCCCCAGUAUCGAGAACUCUUUAGUUUUUUUUUUUUUUUUGAAUGUCCAUUUUUUAGGGAUUUGAAAAACAAAAGGAUUUUUGAUUAUGCAUUUAUGACAUUAAUUUGCUGACUCAGUGAAUUAGACUAUGCAAAAUAAUUCUUUUUCUAUGUUCAGAAAUUAUUUUGGGAAGAGGGUAAACUCGACACCAGUGCCCUUUGUCAAGGUGAUGACGUCAAUUUAUAAAGCCAAAAAAACUCUUCCCUUUACAAGAACUGCCGUUUUUCACCGAAAAGAACUCAUUCCUCCUUUUGACACUAUAAAACCGAAUGAUACUCUUCGUUCAUUUGUUUGUCCAUGGCCCGAUUGGGCAUUGUUCAUGUUUUAAUCUCUAAAUGGUCUUUAAGACUUGGGACGAAACAUUGGCUUUAAGGAUGAGGGCUUUCAGAAGAAUGAGAAAACUAAAGCUCAAAGUCCCACCCCCAGAUGAAUGUGUAUUCCCCCAGUUUGGGGUUUUUGUAAGCAUUGAUCGAGCUUGUUAAUUUGAACAAGCUGCCUAUGUACUUUUACAGGAUCAAGUCAUUACGUUGUUCAAACUUAAUAUUGAGUCUGACAAAUCAUUUUAGGCAACAACAUAUGCCAAUCUGGUCAAGUCUUUUCAUUCGGGUUGUAAUGUAUGCUGUGGGUAUUGGUUAAAGAAGAAAUGGUGCAUGAGGCUCGAACUUAUAAAUUUUACCAAAGAGGGAAUUGGCCAAAGAUCACAAACGAAGCAUAUCUCCUACCUCGCCUUUGCUUUGAUUUUCCCCUUUGUUCUUUUGCUGCAUUUUCCUUUUUUUUUUUUUAGGUUUCGUUCGGGAUUAGUCUUUCCAAAACUGUCCCAGUGUGGGGUGUGAUUCUUUGGCGGAUUUAAACAAAAGAUUAAACAUUUUCAGGCACAAUAGAGGGUAGCAAGGGGUGUUUUCUUUCUCUAACUUUUGGGUAGCAGAAAAAUGACAUGCCGUCAUUUUGGCACUGCGUUAUUGCCUCGCAUGAUUUUCUUGACUUUUGAAAAUCUUAACCUAGUUUAAAUUUGGGAAAUGACUUUUGAAGAAAAUGGCUUGACUUUUAAGUUCAAAAGGGUUUUCCAAGUGAUAGACAAAUUUUAGUUUUUUUAAGGGGUAACUGGUCAGCCAAAAAUGACCAUCUAUCAUCUAAUCAAAAUACGAACAAAUAGAGGGAGCAUGGAAUAGCAACAUGAUCAAUUUAUUGCUUUCUUUGGAGAGUGUACAAGGCCUCUAAGCAUAAUAUUUCUUUAUAGCAUCACAAUUAACAAGGUGUAGGAGCUCGGCUCCAUCCAUGUCUGCUAGCAACAAGGCGCCUCCUGAGAAUGCCCUUUUUACCACAUAAGGCCCUUCGUAAUUAGGUGUCCAUUUACCGCGGGGAUCCAUAUGGAUUGGCAAAAUCUUUCUCAAUACUAAAUCCCCUUCCUGGAAUUACCGAGGUCGCAUCUUGUUGAAUGCCCUCAUCAUCCUUUUCUGGUACAACUGCCCAUGAGCUAUUGCAGUCAUCCUUUUUUCCUUAAUCAAGUUCAACUGAUCAUACCAAGAUUGUAUCCAUUCUACUUCGGUCAACUUUGCUUCCUUCAGAACCCGUAGGGAUGGGAUUUCAACCUCUAUCGGGACCACAACCUCCGUCCCGUACACUAGUAAGAAAGGAGUGGCACCUGUUGAGGUUCGAACUGUGGUUCUGUAUGCCAUUAAGGCAAAAGGGAGCUUGUCAUGCCAAUCUUUGUAGGUUUUCGUCAUCUUUUCCACGAUACUCUUGAUGUUCUUAUUGGCUGCUUCCACUGCCCCAUUCAUCUGUGGUCUAUAAGGAGCCGAAUUAUAGUGCCUAACCUUGAACUAAUUACACAACUUUGUUAUUACUUUGUUAUUCAGGUUCUUGGGAUUAUUUGUGAUUAUCCUUUCGGGAACUCCAUACCGGCAAAUUAACUCCCUCUUUAUGAAACGACUGACCACGUUCUGUGUGACACUAGAGUAUGACGCCGCCUCUACCCAUUUUGUGAAAUAGUGAAUUGCCACAAAGAUGAAACGGUACCCAUUGCUGGCUUUCGGAGUAAUCGGCCCAAUCAUGUCCAUGCCCCAGGCUGAGAAGGGCCAAGGUGCGGAUAGGGCAUGGAGCGGGGCUGGUGGAACUUGAAUUCGGUCUCUGUAAAUUUGGCAUUUAUGGCACUUUCGGGCAUAUUCAAUGCAAUCCCUUUCCAUUGUCAUCCAGUAAUAUCCACUCCUGAGGAUUUUUCACGCCAAUGAGUGAUCCCCGGCAUGAGUACCACAUACUCCCUCGUGGACCUCAUGCAUGAUGUGUCGUGCUUCCUGCUCUUCUACACAAUGUAGAAGGGUCAUAUCGUGGUUCCUUUUGUAUAACACCUCACCAUCCAUGAAGAAUCCCAUGACCAACCUCUUGAUCAUCUUUCGGUCAUUGCUGGUUGCUCCUUCAAGGUACUCAUUUUGCUGGAUGUAUGUCCGAAUGUCAUGGAACCAGGGCUUUCCGUUAGCUUCUUCUACCACUGCAUAGUGAGCGGGCUCUAAUGGUAUUCUGAUUUGAAUCGGAUCAAUCUCCACUCCAGGUUCUACUUUGAUCAAAGUCGCUAGGGUUGCCAGGGCAUCAGGACAUAAAUUGUUUUCCCUUGGUAGGUGUGAGAACCUAAUGCUAUCAAAUUCUUUGAUCAUAUCUUGAAUGUACUCUUGAUAUGGCACCAAUUUGGAAUCCUAGGUUUCCCAGUCUCCUGUCACUUAAUGAACAACCAAGGCUGAAUCUCCCUUCACGACUAAUUCUUUGAUAUCUCGAUCCAUGGCGGCUUGUAAACCCAAUAUAGACGCUUCAUAUUCUACUCUGUUAUUGGUGAACGGAAAAAUCAGCUUGGCUACGCCGAAUAAUGCCUCCAUUCUGGUGAUAUGAGUACGACUCCUAUUCCAUGUCCCCACACAUUGACCGCCCCAUCAAAUAACAUCUUCCAUCCUUCGUAAUCUUCUUCUUCUUGGCUUAUCAAAUCGAUAUCCUUAUUUGGGAAGUCAAACUCCAUAGGCUGGUAAUCUUCCACAGCUCUAUCUGCCAGAUACUCCGCAAUGACGCUUCCUUUAAUAGCUUUUCGAGUCACAUAGGUGAUAUCAUAUUCAGUCAAGAACAUCUGCCACCGUGCAACCCGUCCUGUUACCAUGGGCUUUUCAAAGAUGAACUUGAUCGCGUCCAUUUUGGAAAUCAGCCAGGUCGAGUAAUACAAUGUGUAUUGUUUCAGCCUACUGACUAUCCAAACUAGAGCACAACAUGUUUUCUCCAAGUCCGAGUACUUAAAUUCAUAUUCUGUGAACUUUCUGCUAAGGUAAUAAAUGGCCCUUUCUUUUCUUCCCGACUUAUCAUGAUGGCCCAAUACACAACCCAUGGAAUUUUUUUAUAUUGCCAAGUACAGAAUCAGCGGCCUUCCCGGCACCUAGGGUACUAGCACCAGGGGGUUCAGGAGGUAUUCCUUUAUUUUCUCAAAAGCUUCUUGGCAUUCCUCAUUCCACCUCUCGGGGUUAUUUUUUCUUAACAACUUAAAAUGGGUUCACAGGUAGCAGUUAGUUGGGAUAUGAAUCGAGCUAUGUAAUUGAGCCUACCCAAGAAACUCCUCACCUUCUUUUCAGUCUUGACACUAGGCAUUUCUUGAAUGGCUCUGAUUUUAUCAAAUUUGACUUCGAUUCCUUUCUCGCUUACAAUAAACCCCAAUAAUUUUCUAGAAGUAGUGCCAAAGGCGCACUUUUCCAGGUUCAGUUUUAAUUGGCAUUUUCGGAGCCUUUUGAAUAACCUCUCCAAGUUCAUCACGUGGUCACCGUCAUUUUGUGACUUGACGAUUAUAUCAUCCACAUACACCUUAUUUCUUUGUGCAUUAAGUCAUGGAAUAGAGUCACCAUAGCUCUUUGGUAGGUAGCCCCAACAUUCUUUAGACCAAAUGGCAUGACCUUAUAACAAAAAGUCCCCUAUAAUGUGAUAAAAGUGGUUUUUUCCUUAUCCUCUGGUGCCAUCUUGAUUUGAUUAUACCCUGAAAAACCAUCUAUGAAGGAAAAUAAAGCAUGCCCCGUGGUGUUGUCCACCAAAACAUCAAUGUGCGGGAGCGGGAAAUUGUCUUUGGAGCUAGCUUUAUUUAGGUCCUGGUAGUCCACGCAAACUCGUACUUUGCCAUUCUUUUUCAUUAUUGGAAUGACGUUGGUCAUCCAUUCAGGAUAUUGGGCUACCUCUAAAAACCCAGCUUCAAAUUGUUUUUGCACCUCUUCUUUUAUCUUAAGCAACAUCUCUGGCUGCAUUCUCCUUAACUUUUGCUUGACCGGCUUCGAACUUGGGUAGAGGGGAAUCUUGUGGGUUACCAAAACCGUGUCUAGACCGGGCAUGUCCUAAUAUGACCAAGCGAACACAUCUUGGUAUUCUUUUGACAGUUUAGUUAUUUUGCUCCUUUCCUCACCCCUCAGUAGUGCUCCAAUCUUUACUUGUUUAGGCCCCUCUUUAGUUCCCAGGUUGAUUAUAGUGGUGGGGUUACUACUAGUCAAUGUUGGCUUUUCAUCUGACUUCAACAUUCUUUCCAUUUCAGGAGAUAAAUUCACCUCACCUUCUUCAAUUUCGGUUUCAUGAAUUAUAUUUUCAAAAUUAAUGUCAAUUUCUUUAUCAAGGGUACUAGUGUCAUUAUCUCUCCUAUUCCUGCAUGAAGUCAUAGCAAACAAAUUUUGACAGCUGAAACAGGGAUGCAAACAAAUGUCAAAAAGUGCAUAAUUUUUUAUUAACUGAGAAGAAAUUGCCUAUGACUAUAAUUUAAAAUGAAAAAUUAGAAAUAAAAGAAAUCAUUACAUGAAGAAAAUGGGACAAUCAAAAGAACUCCAAUUGUGCAGUUCCUCUCCUAGUUGAAGAUGGCCGACCCAUUUGUCUGAGGUGGCUGAUGAAACCUUUGAAUCUAGAACAGAUAUGCUCAGCUGUCUCAUUUCAGACUCAAGAUCAUCUUGACUGCUUUUUAUGAAUGUCUGAUUGACAUGAGGGACGCCUGACCUCCACCGAGCGUUGGUAUCACCAGUGAGUCUUUCCCUUCUCUAAGCUUCUUUUUCCGCUUUCUUCUUUUUCCUGUCUACAAACAUAGGCCUAUAUCCCAGACCGUAUCUGUCUUUCAUUUCUGGAAUUACCAGUGGCUUCAAAAUCCCCUGUAAACAUCUUCCCAGCCCUUGACCCGUAUGAUACCCAUGUCUGAUCAGUUCUGUCACAAUCCUGCGAGCUGUUGAGGAAACUCGUGGUUGUGGGAUUUAGGAACCCUUCGACCACAGUUGCUGCAUUGAUUAUUUCAAAGGCUCGAAAUGAAUCCUUUAGGGCUUCUCUGGCAACUUCCACAUAAGGGGUGGAAGUGGGUUUGGUUACCAUCAAGUCUGUUUCUCCGUAUACGCAAACCAAUUUCCCAUCCACUACAAAUUUGAUCCGUUGGUGCAAAGAAGACAGAACUGCCCCGGUGUUAUGUAUCCACAGCCUCCCCAAUAAGCAGCUAUAAGACAGGGUUAUGACCAUGACUUAGAGAAUGUAAUGUCGAAGGUGACCGGUCCAAUUUGCACAGGAAUUUCAAUAGAUCCCACCGAUUCUCUACGGGUGCCGUUGAAAACCCGCACAGUUAGAUUGUUUUGCCUUAUGUAGGACGGGUCAAUAGGCAGUUUUUGUAGGGUCGUCAUGGGCAUGACAUUCAAAGAUGACCCAUUAUGAAUCAACACUCGUGCAAUCAUGUGAUCUCGGCAUUUAGCAGAAACGUGCAACACCUGAUUAUGCCCCUGUUCUUCCACGGGGAUCACCUCAUCAGCGAAUGUAAUGUAGUUGGUAGUCGUAAGACCACCAAUCACGUGGUUAAAAUUAUUGAUGCUGAUGUCUUGGGGAGUAUAGGCUUGAUUAAGGGCCUUUAAUAGAGCUUCCCGAUGGGCUUCCGAGCUCAACAACAGCGACAAGAUAAAGAUAUGGGCUGACAUCCUCUUUAGUUGGUCAAUGAUGUUGUAUUCACUGUGUUUAAUUAUUUUCAAGAAUUCCGCGGCUUCCUGAGAUUGAACCGACUUCUUCAGGUUCCUAUUCUAUUCUUGGCUAGGCUGCUCUUUCUCUGAGACCUAUGGCGUAUAAACCCUUCCACUUCUGGUUAUCCCUCUUGCUUCAGUGGCACUGCUAGUUUCUCCUUCAAUGUGUACUUCACAAUUGUACCUCCAUGACAUUGCCCGGUCACUGCGGUAUGUGAAAGGGAGAGGGGCUACGAUCACUACCCAAACUAGGGCGUCUGGGACUUGUGGGGUUUUUCCCAUGAUGGGGAUUAAUGUUUUGUUGGUGAAUUGGGGAUGGUCAAAUUCCCCUAUAAUUGAAACUUCAUUCGUUUUUUGAAUGCGUCAAACUUCCAUUCGUUUGCUAUCAAUCAAGUUACUUAGAUAAAUCCAGAAAGUCCCACAUUGUUGUACUGAUCCUUUCAUAGUAUUUUGGCAUGCGCAUGGGGUGCCUUUAGGGAAAAUAGCCUUUAGUCCUGCUAGGCCUGCCGUUGUUAGUUCACCAUACACCCAGUCUAGCGUCAUUUGUUCCCAUCUUCUUUCUGAUUUUUCCCCAGCUUCUUCUUCGAUCAUUCCAACAUUAUCCCUUCCAUGGUUAGGCAAGUGAUUUUCAUGAAUACCAAUUGGCUUCCCAUCGAGUGACAACCAACUAGCAUCCCUUAGAUCUUGCACCUUGUGUUUGAAGGCCCAACACUAGUCAAUAAGGUGCCCCAGAGAAUCAGCAUGGUACGCGCAUUGGACCUCGAGAUUAUACCAGUGCGGGGGAGGAUUGGUGAGAGGAAUCCCGGGGAUGGAAGAUAUCAUCUUCUAGAAGAUGAGGGAAUAGGUUUGCGUACAACAUGGGAAUUGGGUCCACUCUCCGAAAACUCUUGGGUGUAUUUCUCGUGUGUGUCUGUUGGCUCGGGUGGGCUGGUAUGUUCUGCUGGGUUGGCACAUGCGCGGGCCACAAACUGGGGCCUGGUGCUUACGUAUGCUGCUUGAUUCACUGCAGGUUCGACUGCAAAGUUUCGGUUGGACCAUGGACUACGACCCUUUGUAUUUUUUUUGUUAGAUGGUCCCUAAACCAUCUGAGUCUCUUCAUCCUUCUUUUUUCUGGUCCACUUCCUACUUGGACCACUUUCAAUGCUACUUUCUUCGACACGACUUGCUUUAAUGUCGGCCUUGAUCCCCCCUGCGAUUACUAUGUCCAUAAAGUCAUGGGGAGUUGCCCCCCUUAAAUGCCCUCAGUAUGGUUCCUUCAAAGUUUUAACAAAAAGGGAAAUUGCUUCUCGGUCACCCACCGGGGGGUCAACUUAGACUACUAGGUCUCGCCAUAUGUAGGCGUAUUCUCAGAACGUCUCAGCAUGCUUCUUCUCCAUUUCAAGCAGGGCCAUUCGGUAAGGGCCAUUUCCAUCACAUGUCGAUAGUGGGCUACAAAGGUGGUAGCUAGGUCUCCCCACGUUCGGACCCGUGUUUUGUCUUGGUGGAUAUACCACCUGCCCCGCUGUCCCCGUCAAAUUGCUUCGGAAAUAGUGUAUCAUCAACUUUUCGUCAUCGGAGUAUGCGGCCAUUGCUUGGCAGUAUAACCGUAGGUGGGUUUGAGGGCAUUAAGUUCCAUCAAACUUCUCGAAUUCAGGCACCUUAAACUUUGGUGGGAGCACCACCUUGGGCACUAAGCAUAGAUCCGCAGGGUUGAGAGAAUUUGAUGUGCGGGUCCCUUCGAUGGCUUUCAAUCACUCUUCAAGCUCGUCACAAUGGUAUUCAGUUGUGGUGUUGCCUGUUCCUAUAACUGCCGUCAUUGUCGGGGGCAUCCCAUUUCCUCGAAUUGGUGCUGUCGGGACGAAGGUGGCUGUACUCGGAGGUGGUCCCUCUAAAAUAACCGGUGGCGGUCCAGAUGACUGCCCAUGGAUUGGUGUGAAGCCUGGAGGGUUGAUAGGAUCCAUAUCUACUUCAUGUUCCUAUUCUUGAACUGUCUUUCCCUUGCUCAGUAACAAAUCCAAAUUCUUUUCAUUUGGUUGCUCAGUUCCUCCUGUCCCUACUCGAUGCUUAGGACACGGAUUUCCAACUGUUCUGUCAUAGCUUUUGCUUUUCUGCAAGUGUUGUAAGGGUGUGUAGGUGCCUCAAUUUUUCCAAUCCUCAAUCACGCCUCUUUUCCUUCUGAACAUGAAACCCACGUCUUUUAGUACAAAUGUAUGAUAUGCCGUGAAUGUUUAUGCAAAUAUGUAUUUAGUGCAUAAAUGAGCAAAUACAAUUAUGUAGCCUAUGUGCUUCGACCAAGGUUCUAAAAAAAAUCAUCAUCAUUUCAUUAUAACUUUUCAUGGAAAACAUGGAUCUUUCGAAUGUACUACACAGACGGAGGAUUCUGAUUGUCCCAUUUGCUCUUGUUGAUGCAAUGCGAUCCUUCUUGGGCUGGCUUUGACCCUCUGGGUGUUGAUCUAUCCACUCUCUGCUUUAGUGCUUGGUAUUUGUCUUCCCAGUACCUGGCCUGUUCUGUGAAUGGUUCGGCCUUGUCCAAUGCCUGGCUAAAGGUCCUCCUCUAUUUAUCCCAUUGGUUGUCUAAUUCUUGAAUGCGGAGGGUUCUCUUUUCAAUUUCAACCUUUGCGCCUUUCAACGUUUUGGAUUUUUGAUCGAGUGUAGCUCAUAGCGUUUGUCUCUCUUUUCUAAAGGCCACUACCUCUUUUUCCGACAACACGAGCUGAGUUUUCUGCCGUUUGACUUUCUUAUGGUAAAAGGCCACCAACUCUUCCUUCCCUCGCUCUAUCCGUUGACUUUCUGAUACCAUUUCCUUCUUUGAGUGUGGCUCCAUUUGUAACUGUGGAUCCUUUGAUGACUGGCCAUGAGUAGCAAGGGCUCCGAAAGUUCCUUCGAAUUGGGGGUUCACCCGGUUGACCCGCCAUAUCUUGUAGCUCUCCUAAAUUGUAAUUGCUUCCUCACCUGGGUCUACCAAGUGCACGUGUUUCCAGGUCACUGUGAACUUCCUGAUUUGAUUUUGGGCAUUCGUUGCUGUAUAAGAGAAGUCUGAUUUUGCCAACCCAUGGGUUGCUGGCACAAAUUGAGAUGCCCCCAUUUACCUCCUGGCCAUCAGAGGAGCAUAUGCCACUCCUCCCCAUGGACCUAGUAAUGGGACCCAUGGGAGGUUUCCACACCAGUAUAUCAUGCUGGAAUGCUUCAUCCAUGGCGCUUGCCAAAUUAGACCCGAAUCUCUCAAUUUGUAUAAUUUUUCUUUCCAUACGGCCUUGCUCCAUUGGAUGAUCUGCUGAGCCCCUUCAAACUCUACUAAGGGAAUUCUGAGAGUUGAAAAGGUGUCACAGUACCCCCCUCGGUUACUUGGCAGGUGAUUGGCAAACCAAACAUAAAGUAAAGGAACACAACACUUCAAUCGUUCUUGACCCUUACCCCUGCAUUUGUUGAGGGAUCGGAAAGUUUCCGCCAAAAUGCCUGGGACUAGAUUAACUCCAUUCUUCACUUGUGCCACAAAAGAAAUGGUGGUUCAGUCGAUGGUCCCUAAUUCUUUCGGAAAAAUAACCAGACCAUAUAUGGUCAGGGCUAGCACAUGCAUAUGAGCCUCCUUACCUUCUUCUUCUUCCAACAAUUUUAGGUACUUCCAAGUGAUUUUCUCGUCUUCCCCUGCGGCUCGCUGAAUCUUGAUUACAGCAACAUUAUACAAUUCUUUUGCCAGAGAAGCUCGAGAAUCAGGCGUAUAAAUGUGAUAAGGUGACCGCUGUUUCAUCAAAUGUAGGAGUGACGUGUACUCUUCGAUUGUAGGAACCAUGUCUAUCCCAUUGACUAUGAAACAUGUGUACGGGGGAUUCCAGAAGUCGACUAAUGCCUUCACCAUCUGAAAGUUCACUGAUAUAUGCAACAGAAAACCGAUGUGGCCGUAUAACUGCGAGAACUCCAAACGGCGCUGUGGUUUCCACCCUUUCCAAAUAGUCUUUAGUUCAUCCAAUGGGUUUGACCGGGUAUAUAUGCAAACUUUGGCCAGUAACUUCACCACUGACUCUCUAUUCAGGCUGUCUCCCCAUUGUCUUUGUUGAUCUUCAGAAUAUAACCGUACCACAGAUUCGGUUUCCUAGUAAAUUAUUGCAUCCUCCAUGGAUGGCCCUGGUUUUUCUCGGAACCUUGGUAAAGCGGGUGGGAUGCCUAUAUGUAUGCAAUAUGUUAGUAAUACUACCAUGCAAUGUGUAUAGCCAUAAGAUCUCUUGGAGAAGGAUGGGGUUCUUAUCCCAAACCCGGGGUGGAUAUAUACAAGGCUCUUCGAGACUUUGUCCUAGGUGGGGGAUUUUGGAUAAGCACGUGUGAUUAAACUCUAUCCCUAUAGACAAAAGGUUCCCAAAUUAAAAUUCCAUCAUUAUAAAGGUCCGAACAAAGCUCACACUAAGCGGAGUGGUUCGCGGGUCCCAUUAAGCUUAAGCUACGAAGGGACAAACGCUAUUACACCCCUAUCUAAUCCUAAAAUGGAAAGCCCGGGUACACAACUGUGAAGGUGUGUGAGUUCGUCCAUUUUAUCCUACGUCCUCUACCCCACAUUCAUCCAUUCAUUAUUCAUAAUCUAAUACAUGCAACACAUCACAUGUUAGAAAUUUGUACAACUAAUCACAUGCUUACCAACCAAUCAUAUGCUCAACAUGGCACAUAUUUACAAGUAUCAAUUACCUCUUAUUUGAACAUAAAAGGUAGGUAAAAAAGUUAUGGUUAUUAAUAUGCACAAUUACUCACCUAUGCACUAUUAGUGUUAUCAAUUUGCACAAAAAGAAAAAGCGGGGGUAUUCAAAAGGUUCAUUAUAUUUGAAAUUGGGAUAAUUGACGAUUAAUCACUAACUCGACUCUCAAUGGUCCCCAGCGUAAUCGCCAAGCUGUCGCAACGUUCUCAAGUGGAACAAAGCGAAUGAAAAGUGAAUUUUAAAUUUUCAUGAAAAAUAGUGUAAUGAACUCGCCACUAACCUUUUAGUGUGGUUAGAACACUUGAUUACUACCCAAUUAAGGGUAGAAUUAGUCUGCAUUACCAGAGACGGGCUUAGGAGUACGGUUACGCAAGGGGAAGGUCUUUGCACCCCCUACACGCCCAUUCUUAUGAAUGGUACCAGAUUAAUUGAAAAUUAUCCCAAAAAUUAAUUUAAUUAGCCUUUAAAAUUACUCCCUUUUUUAAAAUUGUAAAACAAAUACAAAAAAAAAAAGAGGGGGGGGGGGUGUACAUUUACACGCCGCCUAUGGCAACAUAAACACAUAACAUCACAGUUCUUCAUGCCUCUCCACUUACCUUUUCAGGUUGAGAAACGAGAAGUCUGGCCUUUUUCAUUCAUUAUGGUUUUGAGCCAUUUAUGCUCCCACUGGAUGUCCUCCCGACUUUUCUCCAACUCGGCUAUUUUAGACACAAGGUCAUUGGAGUAAACGGCCACCAUUCUUCUCAAAUCUUCGACCUCCCGUUUCAGCAUCUUAUUUUCUUACCUUAAGUCCCUCAUCUUCUGUUGUUCCUCUUGGUAUUUUUGCCGUAAGAGGUAGACUUCAUUUCCAAGGAGGGUCGCGGUUUCAUUUUGUUUCUGCAAAUGACGGGCUAAGUGAGAUGUCGAGGUCAUUGUUUGGGCACUAUGAUAGAGUGCCUGGGUAGCUACAUCGACAUCAGACAUCGUGGCCAGUACUGUCUCAUUCCUCAACAUUUCAUUUUGAAACUAAGGAGGGAGCUGGAAGGAGCCAAGGACACUAGGACGAGUUGGCACCUCCGGUGCCACUUUCAAAUUAGGAACCCAUUUGGAAGAUGAAGCCCCUGCCAUGAGAAAUGAUUGAGAGUAUUUUUUUUUGAAAUGGUUAAGGCAUGGUUGCCAUAAUAGAGGGUGGCCAAAGAUGGGUUGUAGUUACACAGGGAGUUCGCCUGUAGUGUUUAGGUGUGAGAGGAAGUGGGUUAAAUAGAACAAUAUUGAGAUUGCCCAGCUGUGUAUGUUUUAAAGUGUGUGAAUGAUAGGAGGAAGAGAGGGUUGAUGUGCAUCGAGAAGUCCCCCAGUUGUGAGUGGAGGAUUAUGUUCACAAGGCGGCGAAAAAAAUCCCGAAACAGAUUUUGAGAGACGUGGAGCAGUCAUAAUAUCUAAACUUGAGGAAAAAAAAGAAAACGAAAAAAAGGGGGGGGGGGGUGCAUUUAUUCCUAGGGCCCAUUUUAAAAGAACCCGAAGCUAAUUGUUUUGCACAAAGCCCAACAACUAUUUAAAAAAAAAAAACCAGACUUGUUCAUUUUUAAAACCAAAACCCCAAAUCUAUUUUAAAAGAAACCGGCCCGUUUUAAAAGUGACUCAGGCCCUAUUUGUUUUGAAGUGAGUCGGCCCGUUUUAAAACUCAAUCUGAGUCCGACCAUUUAAAUAAACCCAAGCCUUUAUUUUUUCUGAAGUGGGUCAGCCCAUUUUAAAACUCAAUCCAAGCCCAACCAUUUAAAUAAACCCGGACCUUAUUUUUUUAAAAAGGGAAAGUGGGCCAACCCGUUUUAAAAAUGACCUGGGCCUUAUUUUUUCUGAAGCGGGCCGACUCGUUUUAAAACUCAAUCAAAGCCCAUUUUUCGAAAACAAACUCAGGCCCGAUUCACUCAAGCCCAUUCUCAUGAGUCUCAAAGCCCACACAUGACCUAGACACGUGAUAGAGCCCAUGGGGCUCGCUCGUGAUCCUAUGAAUUCACUCAACUCACUCGAGUUGAAGACGAGUUGACUCAUCCUCAACCUCACUAACCAACCUGAAACUCUAACGUUUGAAACCCUAACCCUAACUUCUAAACCAGAAACCUUAAUACCUCAAGCCCUAAAUUGCCACGCAAAUAACAACCAGCAAUCAAGCAUACACAAAAUUGAAAAAAUAUAUAUAAACAAAAAAAAAGCGCUUAUCUUCUUUGGAAGUGCGAAAGAACUCCCUGUGCAUCUAUGCUGAUCUUCCCUAUCGAGGUACUCCUAGUGAUCAUCGUUCAUUUGGGCUUCGCCAGAUCUCUCCAGAUCUGGCCGUGAAGACAAAGUAAGAGGUCGGUCGAAGCUGGGUCACCUCUAAAGAAUUGUGUGAUGUUUAUGAUUUUAGGUUUGCAAGAAUCCAAGGUUUCUGAAGAAAGGUCUAGGCUCCUGAAAUAAGAUCAAAAUAGGGACAGUUCAGAGUUAGGCACCAAAUGCUGAAAUGGUGAAGAAAGGCACAGAGAGAGAGAGAGAGAGAGAGAGAGAGAGAGAGAGAGAGAGAGAGAGAGAGUUUGGAGGUAGGUGAGAAUGGGAAGGGAAUUAUAGAGGGGCUAGGGUUUCAGGUUCGCAGCGAAUAAGAGCAAGGAAGGGCAAAGAAGAGAAGAACAGAGAGGGUGAGAGAAGAGAGAAGGGAGAGAGAGAGCAUUCGAGAGAAUGAAACAUGGAAAAAUGAACAUAAUGAAAAAAUUAGGUUUAAGUAUUUAAAGCCUCGGAGUCACAAGAUUUAACCACGCGACAUUCCAUCAUCUGUUCGAUCAAAGAAAACACGUGGCUCCCUUGUAUCCGUCUGUUUCUAUUCCCCAUCAACAACCUUGAUCUCACCGUGUUAGUACUCUGGAUAGCUGUCUGAUCCUCUCGGAUUAGCAAUGGUUAGGAUCACCUCGUUCAAAGAGGAAGCCAUCAUGAGUGUCGGCAUAAUUCUCCACUCGCCAGGUGACACAUGGCAAGUACGUGACCCUCAUCAUUAAUGCGCAUAAAAUCCUGUGAGCCAUCUCCACAAGCCAUUGGAUCAUCCCUACAUUGGAUGGAUCAGAUCAUGCCACGAUAGGAGAUCAGUGCGGAUCAAAUCCAUAUGAAUCCUUGCAUAGCACCAACGGUACAGAUCACUCCACAUCAGCAUUAGAAAUUUGUGCCCCCUCCUCACUUGCAUGAUCUGUGUCUUCUGGGGACGACUUGGAUCGCUCCACGUUGGCAAUCUGAACACCACUUGCUGCUCACCGUCGGAUUUGUCUUUUCUUUGGAUGGUGAGGAUCAAUCCACAUUAGCAAUAUGAGUACCACUUGCUGCUCACCGUUCGAUGUGUCUUUUCUUGGGACGGUAAGGAUCUCUGCACGUUAGCGAUCCGAGCGUGCCUCACCUCCAUUGUUGAAUCCCGCUUUUCCAAGAACGGCUUGGAUUGAGCCACGUCAUCAAUCCGCACCCGCACACACCCACCAAUCAGGCCACCGACAUGUGGCUCAUUUUCCCCAACACACGAAGAGUCUUGCGUGGCCACCCUGAUCACCGUUGGCUGUGUUAUCCGAGGACGGUUAGGAUUAUGCCAUGCCUAGAUCUAGGUCACAUUUGACCAGCCACUCGGCCACUGACACGUGGCAAGCCCUCCUACACACGGUCAUAUACUACUUAGUCUUUUGUGAGCCAUUCGAUCUAUGUUUCCCAAGACGGAACACAUCAUGCCACGUUUUCAAUCCAGGUCACCCUCCAUCUCCCCAUUUUUUGGUCGGCACAUAACCUUACUUAAAAGACGACACAUGGUCAAUUGUAUGACCUGACUAAAAUAGGUGUCUUUUAUCUUUAUAGGCCUGUUGCUAUAGAUAGCAUAGGAAAGUUCCUACUGUUACCCCAAAGCAACAAGACCUAUAAAGAGAGACACCUGUAGACACCCCAAUUUUAACCAGGUCUUUCCGAGACCUCAUGUCAAAUCUUCCCACAUUGUUUGUGAAUCUAUACAUCUUUGUAGGUCCCACGCUGCUUGUGGACCCCCACACAUCUUUGUAGUCCCACACUGCUAGUGGACCCCACACAUCAUUGUAGGUCACACGCUGCUUGUGGACCCCCACACUGUUUGUAGGUCCCACACCACUUGUGGACCCCACACAUCUUUGUGGGUCCUAAGCUGCUUGUGGACCCCACAUAUCUCCAUUGGAUCCCAUAAGGUUUGUAGGCCCCAUCUGUCUUGGUACGCUAGCUCGGAUUCCUACAUGUGGUACACGUUACCCAUCCUGGUACGCUAGCUCGGAUUCCUACAUGUGGUGCACAUUACACCUUUUGGUAUGCUAGCUCGGAUCCCUAUAUCCGGUGCAUACUAGCUUGGGUUCCUAUAACUCUCAAAUGGCUCGUGGACCCCACAUGGCGCGUGGGUCCCACACAUCUCCGUUGGGCUCCACACAACUUAUAGGACCCUCAUAUUAUUAUUAUUAUUAUUAUUAUUAUUAUUAUUAUUAUUAUUAUUAUUAUUUAUCUAAUUUGUCAAAUGCAAGCAUGCUUUGUUCCCUCAUCAUCACUCACCACAUAUCUUGUUUCUUCCCUUUAUCAUUCAUCCCAUUUUAUAUUUCGUUCGUCAUUCUUCACCCCAUACUUUGUUCCCCCCAUCAUCACUCAUCACAUGUUUUGUUCCUCUCUUUAUCAUUCAUCAAAUGCUAUAUUUCCUUCAUCAUUUUUCAUCUCAUACUUUGUUCCCCCCAUCAUCACUCACCACAUGUCAUGUUUCCUCCCUUUAUCAUUCGUCCCAUGCUAUAUUCCCUUCAUCAUUCUUCAUCGCAUACUUUAUUCCCCCCAUCAUCACUCACCACAUGCUUUGUUCAUUUCUUUAUCAUUCUUCCCAUGCUAUAUUCCCUUCAUCAUCAUUCAUCCCAUAUUUUGUUCCCCCCAUCAUCACUCACCACAUCCUUUGUUCCUUUCUUUUUUAUUCUUCCUAUGUUAUAUUCCCUUCAUCAUUCUUCACCCCAUAUUUUGUUCCCCCCAUCAUCACUCCCCUAUGUCUUCUUUCUCAUGCUUAUCACAAGUUAAGUCUAUAAAUAGUCUUCUCAUUCCAAGCACAAAGGAGGAGUUCUUGAUGGUGGUAAGGAGAAGAUUUCGAAUAUUAAAGUCUUCUAUUAUAAGUUUGUGAAGUUAGUUUUUUUUAGUGGUAAGGAGAAGAUUUUGAAUAUUGAAGUCUUCUACUGAAUGAGGUUACGUUUCAUUCUCUUAGAUGAUCAAGUGGUCGAUUGAUCUCGUUUCCUACUGGUGCCGAGUCACGCCAUUUGAAGAAGGCACUCCGUAGUGCCUCGAGUCAGAGCUCAAGAACAACUCUCGGGAAGACGCUGUAGACUGGCCCCAGUAGACUCACCGGCAGGAAAAGAAGACCGGAGGAGAGGAAAAAGAAAGAAGAUCAAGCGGUUGACCGAUUCCAUUUCCUACCGGUGUCGAGUCACUCCAUUUGAAGAAGGCACUCCGUAGUGCCUCGAGUCAGAGCUUAAGAACAACUCUCGGGAAGAUGUUGUAGACUGGCCCCAGUAGACUCUCCGACAAGAAAAAAGACCGGAGGGGAGGAAAACGAAAGGUAAAACUAAUAGAUUUUCCCUUCUUGGGUUACAUUUUAAAGUAUAAUAAACGGGAUAUGAAGUUGUGAAUCAAAGACUCAAACCCAAAGUUAGGUUCAAUCUCGAACCUAAACCUCGUUUAUCUCUCUCCGAAUUGUUUGAACCCUUGAAUUAGUAUGGAGCCGAUUUAUUGUUUUAUUUAGUAUGUUUUUUUUUUCUUUGAAUGACUAAUGAUUCAAAAAACCCAUAAAAAUCAUAAAAUGCCAAAAAAAAAUCACAAAAGUUUUUUUAGGAAAAAUUCCAAAAAGAUUUUCAAACUUUAACUUCUAUGAGUUUUGUUUUAAUUUUAUUUGUGCUAUUUUGAAGUUUGGGAAAAAUAUUGAAAAAUCAUAAAGUCAAAAAAAUGUUUUCACACUUGGAAAAAAUUACAAAAACAUUUUCAAGGUCCAAUAAAUCAUUUUCACCCCGAAUGAGCCGAAAACCUCCCAAGGUUUCAAAAAUGUCAAUUUUCCUUACUAAAAAAAAAUCCUAUAAAUUUCAAAAUACCUGAGAGUUAUUUUUUGUAAAAAAAAAAAAAACCUAUUUUCUCUAUUUUCUGAUCCCAAUGAUUGCAAGGAAGGGCGUUGAGUUUUUCGAAGCAUGAUAUGCCCUGGUUCUGAGGGAAUACCUAUAUGUUAUUUAUUUUUAUUUUUUUUGGUAUUUGUUUUACAAUUUUAAAAAGGGGAGUAAUUUUAAAGGCUAAUUAAAUUAAUUUUUGAGAUAAUUUUCAAUUAAUCUGUUAUCAUUCAUAAGAAUGGGCGUGUAGGGGGUCUGAAGACCUUCCCCUUGCGUAACCGUACUCCGGACCCCGUCUUUGGUAAUGCAGACCGAUUCUAUUCUUAAUUGGGUAGUAAUCAAGUGUUCUAAUCACACUAAAAGGUUAGUGGCGACUCCAUUACACUAUUUUUCACGAAAAUUUAAAAUUCACUUUUCAUUCGCUUUGUUUCGCUUGGGAACGUUGCGACACCUUCGACACGUGGUCAACAACUUUAGCACAAAAGUACACGGUGUCAAUCUUAAGUGUAUGGCUGAGCGAGCAAGAAGGAAGCAUCAGGUAAGAAAAUAUAACGUGUGGAUGGAUAGGAUAUUCGAUGAGGGUGGGGAACCUGCGAAGUCUUUUUUUGAUCAGAUCCCUCCUCAUAUGUGGACUCAGUGCCACGACGGUGAUAGAAGGUAUGGGAACAUGACCACUAACCUUGUGGAAUGUUUCAACGCCGUCCUAAAAGGCGUUCGUAGCCUCCCAAUCAUGGCCCUUGUGCAACUGACAUUUUUUCGCGUUGCACAUUAUUUCAACAGCCGACAGGAGGCUGCUCGUAACGCAAUAUCGGGGAGAAAAUUCAUUCAAUUCCCAUAUAUUGCUAGCGAUAAAAAGAAAAGGAAGUUGAAGGCGAUCGGACAUCGGGUCACGACGUUCAACCGAUCUAGGGGUACUUUUAGCAUCACGACCGUGCAGUUGGGAUUCCAUAAAGGAAACAACGUCCAAACUUUGAGCAUUUAGGAUAGACGCGAAUGCUCAUAUGGGAAGUGGCAAGCGUUACACUUUUCAUGCUCCCACCUUCUCGCUACAUGUGCAAAGAUACGGCUGAAUGCUAUGCAGUACGUUGAGUCAUGUUGGAGCACUAUCAAAUACUAUGCGACAUAUGUUGUGAAUUUUUAUCCGAUUAUGCAUGAGGCGUACUAGCCAGCAUCCUUGUUGCUGACUAUACAGACAAAUCUUGCAUAUGCUCGACAUAAAGGUCGGCCUAAAAGCUCCCAUAUACACAAUGAGAUGGACGCAAGGGAAGGUAGGAAGAGGAGCAUGUGCAGCAUAUGUCAUCAAGAAGGACAUAACCGCACAAGGUAUCCGAGAAGGACCCAACCCGGGGAUGCAGCUAGACCGUCGCAUUGACUUCGUACGCACUUAUAGGACUUUUAGUACACUUCUUCUUUUGUAUAUAUUUAUUAUAUUGCGAUGGUGCAUUUUGCAGGAUUGAUCUAGGGCCGUGUGAUCCGAGCGCCUUGAUGAUGGGCGAUGAUCACCGAGCCAGCCGAGUGUAAGCCAAUGGACACGCCGACCCCUUGCUCUAUUAAGAGGGCAUGCGGUUUGCGGAGCGCUAGUUUGAGGCAGACGACCACAUCAUCCGCUAGAUACGCGAUGCAGGGUUUAAUGGUAUUUAUCAGAUUGUCCAUAUUUAGCUGGAUUGACAUCUCGUGACAGCUUUGGUGGAGCGAUGGAGACCUGUGGCACACACAUUCCAUCUACCUCAUAGGGAGACGACCGUCACACUCUAGGAUGUCGCUGUUUUGUUUAGGCUGCCGAUUGAUGGGCUACCCGUCACUGGUCGUACUAUCAGGCCAGUAGAGAUACCUACAGACCGUCGGGGAUGACUCGCCCUGCGUACUCUGUGCAAGUGUUUGUUAGGAGUUGUGUUACUUGAUAGCGAGUUGGUUGGUGCACGUAUCCGUAUGCGGUUCCUCAAGGGGGAUGUGUUUCGUCUGCUCCUGACAGAUGCAGAUGUACAGACUAUAGCGUGCCACGCACGAGACCACUUGUUGCGUUUGAUAUGUGGGGUGAUAUUUUGUGACAUUUCAAGCAGCUAUGCGUAUCUGAUGUUCCUUCCACUCCAUGUGGACUUAGGAGCGUGUCGCAAGUACAGUUGGGGGUCUUCUACUUUGGUUUGGCUUUAGAGGGAGAUGUGUCGCGCCACUCACUACUCGAAGACACAGAUUACUGGCCCAUUUCGCCUACUACAUAUUUGGGCCUGGGAGAGAUUUUUGUCUUUAGCUCCUACGCGGCGAGGUUUCCUAUACAUUCAAAGGGGCCACGACGGUCGUCCGGUUGACCCACUCCCGCUCACAUACCGAUGGAGGGACGACUUAAGGGCACCGAUGGUUGCGCUACACACAUUGCCCUGGUAUAGGUUCGAGUUGGACAUGCAUCGGGAGCAUGAGUUCUUGUGGAGGCCCUACAUGGCUGAGAUUCUAACCGACCUACCUCUUCAUUAUGCAGUCGGGAGUGGCCUUUGGGUAGCCCGAGUGCCACUUAUAUGGUUUCAUAUUAUCGAGUGGUAUCUCCCCGACCGAGUCAUGCGGCAAUUUGGGUAUUGACAAGGCAUCUUGAUUGCUUUCUAACGUCAGGGGUAGAUGUAGUUGGGGAUGACCUCCACGGCAUGGAUGGGCGCGGUCGAGCGGUCACGGACUGGGCGACUACACGCGCGAUAUUCAUGACUGUGUGGGAGCAUCGAUGAGAGUACAUCGUACCAGGAGUGUUGGAGGACGGUCCGAUGCGUUUGGAUGACCCAUACUUCACCUGGUAUAGGUCCAUCACACGUCGCUUCGUCGACAAGACUACUGCUAUAUAUUUAAGCCUCGCUGACAUAGUACAUGAGGCAAAUGAAAUCUCGUCAGAUGCUGUUAUCCACCAAUUGAUGAGUGUUGCAUUGAACCUUGUCCAUAAGGAUGGUCAAUGGAUCCCAGCUGCUCAACCUGAUGCACCAGCACGAGGAGGUUGACCAGCUCCAAUACGAGGAGGAUGACAUGCCUCCUCUAGUCGUCCAUUGAGUCCCAUCUCCUCGCCACCGGUUGUACAGGCGGAGUACGUGUUCGGUCCGUCAGCAUCGUAUGCGCCUUCCAGUGCAACUGAUAUUGUGGGACCGUCUAGUAGACCGAAUGAUGCCCUAUCUGACUCUGCUGCCACCCAAUCAAUGUCAUUUUUAUUGGACGACAUUUUCGAUGGGGAGGAGGUCGAUGCACCCGCUAUGCCGCCUCGUUCUUGUCCAGAGACAUCAUAUCAGUUUUUAUCGUGUGCGUUUCACAUGGAUGAUGAUUACGCAGUACCUCUUGGAGGAGAUGAUCCACAUCCAAGACGACGGGAUAGGACACCUAAUGCAGGUGACCAAUAGGGAGAGGGCAAACACAGACGGCAACCACCAUGACCCCGUAGACAACUUCGCUGCGGCAUCGAGUAGUUUAGCAUUAUUUUCAUUUCAUUUGUAUGUAUAUCAUUGAUUAUUUUUAUUUCAUUUGUAUAGUAUUGAUUAUUUUUAUUCCAUUUGUAUAUCAUUGAUUAUUUUCAUUUCACUUGUAUAGCAUUUGAUUAUUUUCAUUUCAUUUGUAUAGUCAUGUGUCUUGUGCACACUUCAUACUCUUGAACUUAGUAUUUGAGUUUAUUUAUUUAUUUAUUUUAUCUAU